rfam:TPA: Bos taurus chromosome 3, whole genome shotgun sequence.
UCCCUCAUAGCUCAAUCGGUAAAGAAUCUGCCUGCAAUGCAGGAGACCCAGGUUCGGUUCCUGGGUCGGGAA